AAAAAGAAAGAUACCUUGUUUGAAAUGUCGAAGUUAACAUAUUGCAAGUCAUUUUAUAACCAAUUGAUGUACUGUAGUCUGAUGCGAUGCAGCAAGAAUGUAGUAGCAUAAUGGGACGGAUCAACGCAGAAUAAUUUGACAUUCCUGCGACAAUGUUUCCGGAGUUAAACACAUAUCUAGAAGCAUGCAGCUAAAAGUUAUAUUUACCAGGCAGCUUCUUCUGGAGGAGAUAGAACAUAAGAAUGAUCGAUAUUGCAGUUGAAAAUGACGUUGAGAGUGCCUGGAUAAAUGAAAAUAAUGCAGUUAGAAACUGUCUUGUUAUGACUUGUCCUUCUCAUAAAGAUGGUAACAUACCAGUCCCCGUGCACCUAGGUGAUAUCUGGUGAUCGAAAGCCAGUUCAAAAUGGCAUUCAAAGCAAUAGCACCUACACUGACCAGAAAAGGUCCCUUCCCAUCACCAAGGGCAUAAAAUGUUGAGUAGUAAACUUGAUUUUUGGACUAAAUCAUAUGGGCUUAAGGAUUUUGCUUGUAGGCCCAAAUCAAUUAAAAGGACUAAAUCAUAUGGGCUUAAGGAUUUUGCUUGUAGGCCCAAAUCAAUUAAAAGGCCCAACAUGCAUAGCAUUUCUAGAAGAGCAUUAUCUAGAAAAAUCUAUAUAAAUAUCUACUAGAAAAAUCUAUAUAAAUAUCUAAGUAAGAUAUGUGGUUUUAUAAAGAAUAUCUAGAGAAUUCUAGGAAAAUAUCUUGAUAUAUGGUCUAGGUGUCUUUAGAAAAUGUGUGGACUAGAAUCUUCUUGUAAACACUAUAUAAAGGGAUAGUGCCCUCCAUUUUGAAACAAGCCAAAAAGUGUGUAGAGUCUUGAAUUUGAGAAAUACAAGUUUCCUAUUUUUUCACUUCCUUCUUCCUAUUAGUGUUGUCCUCUUAAAAGUCUUAGCUAAUCCAAGUUAGUAAACCCAUCUUUCCUCCAACAAACUGAUAUCAGAGCCCCAAGGUUCUUGUGAAAAAUGGCAAGUGGGAUGAUUCCUUUUCAAGUCCCCCAACUCAACUAGGAUAACUACGACAAUUGGAGUAUAAGGAUGAAAGCAAUGCUCGGGUCGCAAGAUACAUGGGAGAUCGUAGAGAAAGGCUACACGGAGCCACAAGACGAGGUUGCUCUAUCCCAAACACAAAGGAAUAGUUUGAAGGAUGCAAGGAAGAAGGACAAGAAGGCGCUCACCCUCAUCUAUCAAGCCUUAGAUGAAGGCAUGUUCGAGAAAGUAGCUUGUGCUACUACAAGUAAGGAAGCAUGGGAGAUCUUGCAAAACUCCCACAAAGGAGUUGAGAAGGUGAAAAAGGUUCGACUUCAAACACUUCGAGGUGAGUUUGAAGCUUUACAUAUGAAAGAAUCGGAAUCAAUUUCUGAUUACUUCUCUAGAGUAUUAGCUAUUGUGAAUCAAUUAAAAAGGAAUGGAGAAAAGUUGAACGACAAUCGAGUAAUUGAGAAGAUACUUAGGUCUUUAGAUUCUAAAUUUGACUACAUAGUUGUAGCCAUUGAGGAAUCUAAAGAUCUAGAUAGUAUGAGUGUCGAUCAACUCAUGGGAUCUUUACAAGCCCAUGAGGAAAGACUAAGGAAGAAAGUGAAAGAAGAGCCUUUAGAGCAAGCUCUUCAAACAAAGCUCACUUUGAACGAGGGUGAAGGAAGGUUCAAUAGUAAAAGAAGCCAAAGAGGAAGAGGACGAGGCCAAGAUCAAGGAAGAAUUGCAUUCUACAAGGAGGAAAGAAGACAAAGUUCGUUUUCUACUAGAGGUCGCGGAAGAGGAAAAUGUACGAGGAAAAAUGAAGGACCAAGGUAUGACAAAUCUCAAAUUAAAUGUUACAAUUGUCAAAAACUUGGUCAUUAUGCUUCAGAAUGUAGAAAUAUUACUAACCAAGUUGAGGAGAAAGCCAACUACACUGGUCGCUUGAUCCGCUUAAAAAAUGGUACGCAUCAGUUUAUCUCGAAUGUCUAUUAUGUGCCCAAUAUGAAGAAUAACAUUUUAAGUUUGGGACAACUCUUAAAGAAGGGCUAUGAUAUUCAUUUGAAGGAUCAUAGUCUUUCAAUAAGAGAUCAAAGAGAAAAUUUGAUUGCCAAAGUCCCUAUGACAAGAAAUAGAAUGUUUGCGUUAAGCAUUCAAAAUGAUGUCGCUAAAUGCUUAAAAGCUUGUUUUAAAGAUUCAUCUUGGCUUUGGCACUUGAGAUUUGGGCAUCUUAAUUUUGGAGGCUUAAAGUUGUUGAGUAAGAAGAAAAUGGUGAAAGGUUUGCCUUCAAUAAAUCAUGCGGAUCAAUUAUGUGAAGGAUGCUUACUUGGAAAGCAUUCGAGAAAAAGUUUUCCAAAAGAAGCAUCUACAAGAGCUAAGAAGCCGCUAGAACUUGUACACUCCGAUGUUUGUGGGCCAAUUAAUCUAAGCUCUCUCGGUAAGAGCAAUUAUUUUGUUCUUUUUAUUGAUGAUUUUAGUAGAAAGACUUGGGUCUAUUUUCUUAAACAAAAAUUGGAAGUUUUUGAAACUUUUAAGAAGUUUAAAGCUCUUGUUGAAAAAGAAAGCGGAUAUAGCAUAAAAGCCUUGAAAUCGGAUAGAGGAGGAGAGUUCACCUCCAAAAAGUUUGAGAAAUAUUGUGAGGAGAAUGGAAUUCGUCGUCUAUUGACAGUUCCAUACUCUCCACAACAAAAUGGAGUAGCCGAAAGAAAGAAUAGAUCCAUUCUUAACAUGGCCCGCUGCAUGCUCAAAAGUAAGAGAUUGCCUAAACAACUUUGGGCUGAAGCUGUUAAUUGCGCCGUGUAUCUGUCUAACCGAUCACCUUCUAGAAGUGUGUGGAAUAAGACACCACAAGAAGCAUGGAGUGGAAGAAAGCCCAGCAUCUCUCACUUACGAGUAUUUGGGAGCAUUGCAUAUGCUCAUGUACCAAAUCAAAAACGGUCCAAGUUAGAUGACAAAAGUGAAAGGUAUGUCUUCAUCGGCUAUGACUCUUGCUCUAAAGGCUACAAGUUGUAAUCCAAGCAAUGAGAAGAUCACCAUAAGUAGAGAUGUCGAGUUUGAUGAAGAAGGAGCUUGGGAUUGGGGUGUCCAAGAAGAAGACUAUGACUUCUUACCAUUCUUUUAUGAAGAAGAACAAAAGAAUGGAGAGCAGCAAGAGAUUAUCAGUCCACCUCUAUCACCUACUCAUGGAAAUGCUUCUCCAUCAUCUUCACAAGGAGAAAGUUCAAGCGAAAGGACACCACGGAUGAGGAGCCUACAAGAGCUAUAUGAGGUAACCGAAAAUCAAAAUGAUCUCACACUUUUUUGUCUUUUUGUCGAUUGUGAACCAAUAGGGUAUGAAGAAGCGGUGCAAAAUAAAAGAUGGAGAGAUGCUAUGGAUGAAGAGAUUAAGGCUAUAGAGAAAAAUUACACGUGGGAGCUGACAACUCUUCCCAAAGGAAAGAGAGCAAUCGGAGUUAAGUGGGUAUACAAGGCAAAGAAAAACGCUAAAGGAGACGUAGAAAGAUACAAAGCAAGAUUGGCUGCCAAAGGUUACAACCAACGGUCGGGAAUUGAUUAUGAAGAGGUAUUUGCUCCUGUUGCUCGUUUAGAAACCAUAAGAUUAAUUAUCUCUCUUGCAGCGCAAAAUAAGUGGAAGAUAUUUCAAAUGGACGUGAAAUCAACUUUUCUAAAUGGUUAUCUCGAAGAAGAAAUCUAUGUGGAGCAAUCAAUGGGCUAUAAAGUAAAAGGACAUGAAGGUAAAGUCUUGAAACUAAAAAAGGCUUUAUAUGGGUUGAAACAGGCUCCAAGGGCAUGGAAUAGUAGAAUUGACAAGUAUUUUCUAGAAAAUAACUUCACAAAAUGCCCUCACGAGUAUGCCCUUUAUACAAAGGUAAAUGAGAAAGGAGAUAUUUUGCUUGUUUGUUUGUACGUAGAUGAUCUUAUAUUUACAGGAAAUAAUCAAAGUAUGAUCACUGAGUUUAAGAAGGUCAUGGCUCAAGAAUUUGAGAUGACGGAUAUCGGCCACAUGGCCUACUAUCUUGGCAUAGAGGUAAAGCAAAUGGAGGACUGCAUUUUCAUCUCACAAGAAGGAUAUGCGAAAGAAAUUCUAAAGAAAUUCAAUAUGGAGGACUGUAAGCCUGUAUGCACCCCCGUCGAAUGCGGAAUCAAGUUGUCGAAAAAUGAUGAAGGUGAAAAAGUAAAUCCAACACUUUUUAAGAGUCUUGUUGGAAGUCUAAGAUAUUUGACGUGCACAAGACCAGAUAUCCUUUUUGGAGUUGGGCUCAUUAGUCGCUAUAUGGAGACACCUACCAUGACCCAUAUGAAAACUGCAAAGAGAAUUCUUCGCUACAUCAAAGGUACACUUGAUUAUGGCUUAGUCUAUUCAUCAUCUAAUGAGUUUAAACUUGUUGGAUAUAGUGACAGCGAUUGGGGCGGAGAUAGUGAUGAUAGAAAGAGUACGACUGGGUACGUGUUUUACUUGGGCGACACAGCUUUCACUUGGAGCUCAAAGAAGCAAUCGAUCGUAGCAUUAUCUACAUGUGAAGCUGAAUAUGUUGCAGCUACAUCAAGUGUCUGCCAUGCGAUUUGGCUUAGAAACUUGUUGAAGACGCUUGGAGUAUCACAAGAAGAGCCAAUCGAAAUCCAUGUUGAUAACAAAUCGGCAUUGGCAUUGGCAAAGAACCCAGUAUUCCCUGAUAGAAGCAAGCACAUUGAUACAAGAUAUCACUUCAUAAGAGAAAGCAUUGCAAAGAAAGAAGUGCAGCUGAAAUAUGUAACCUCCCAGGAGCAGAUCGCCGACAUUCUCACUAAGCCACUCAAGCAUGAUGUGUUCCGCAAGUUAAGAACUUUACUUGGAGUAGCAAAAUCAAGUUUAAGGGGGGAUGUUGAGUAGUAAACUUGAUUUUUGGACUAAAUCAUAUGGACUUAAGGAUUUUGCUUGUAGGCCCAAAUCAAUUAAAAGGCCCAACAUGCAUAGCAUUUCUAGAAGCAUUAUUUAGAAAAAUCUAUAUAAAUAUCUACUAGAAAAAUCUAUAUAAAUAUCUAAAUAAGAUAUGUGGUUUUAUAAAGAAUAACUAGAGAAUUCUAGGAAAAUAUCUUGAUAUGUGGUCUAGGUGUCUUUAGAAAAUGUGUGGACUAGAAUCUUCUUAUAAACACUAUAUAAAGGGGUAGUGCCCUCCAUUUUGAAACAAGCCAAAAACUGUGUAGAGUCUUGAAUUUGAGAAAUACAAGUUUCCUCUUUUUUCACUUCCUUCUUCCUAUUAGUGUUGUCCUCUUAAAAGUCUUAGUUAAUCCAAGUUAGUAAACCCAUCUUUCCUCCAACAUAAAAUACUGCAACUAACAAGUCUGAUGAUGAAGAAUGGUGCACUGAAGGAAUCUGUUAAGACAGAAGGAAUUAUCUAUUAGAUAUAUUAUAAAAAGAAUUUCUAGUUCUUUAUUGGUUGUUUCUUAAAUUAAAUUAAAUUAGCUGAAACCCUAUAUAAAGGGGUUUAUACAUUAUAAUAGUUAGACUUGAUUCUCGAAUAAACUAAUAUUUUCUUCCCUCUAAUAGUUCAGUCUUCUCAUUCAUCUCCCCUUUCCAUCUCCCUAUUCUCCCCUUUCUUUUCCCUUCUCCUACAAGUCUCGUUCUAAUUUAUUUGCAUCCUACGUCAGAUAGCCAUUAGAGAUUUAUGGAUAUUUAGAUGAUUAGAUUGCUAGAAAAAAAUUCAGGGGUCUAGCUAGAAGAGUAAAGAAAAGGAGAAAUUCAAUCUAUAUUAGCACUAAAGAUACAAGUAAGAAAAU
rnacentral:lncRNA from 1 species